UCCUGGCUCAGGAUGAACGCUGGCGGCGUGCCUAACACAUGCAAGUCGAACGAAGCACUCCGGUUGAGAUUCGUCAAGAACUGGAUUUGACUUAGUGGCGGACGGGUGAGUAAUGUAUGAGCAACCUGCCUUUCAGAGGGGGACAACAGUUGGAAACGACUGCUAAUACCGCAUAAUGUAUAUUAGGGGGCAUCCCUGGUAUACCAAAGGAGCAAUCCGCUGAAAGAUGGGCUCAUAUCUGAUUAGUUAGUUGGCAGGGUAACGGCCUACCAAGACUUCGAUCAGUAGCCGGACUGAGAGGUUGAACGGCCACAUUGGGACUGAGAUACGGCCCAGACUCCUACGGGAGGCAGCAGUGGGGAAUAUUGGGCAAUGGGCGAAAGCCUCGACCCAGCAACGCCGCGUGAAGGAAGAAGGUCUUCGGAUUGUAAACUUCUUUUAUGAGGGACGAAGGACGUGACGGUACCUCAUGAAUAAGCCACGGCUAACUACGUGCCAGCCGCAGC
rnacentral:rRNA from 1 species